ensembl:snoRNA
CCGCGCUGCUUUUGAGCCCCCGGCGCCUGCACGUGGCCCCGGGGGUCAGGCUGCAGCGCCAGAGCACGGGCUCGCGCAUAACUGGGGCCGCCAGCCCCCCUCGCCGGCGGCUCUUUUAACCGCGAGCGACACGC